UCUAAGUACAUGUGUAAUUAAACACGAAACCGCGUAUGGCUCAUUAUAACAGCUAAAAUUUACUUGAUUUUGACUUUUAUCCUACAUGGAUAACUGUGGUAAUUCUGGAGCUAAUACAUGCAUAAAAGAUGUUUUUGUAAAAAAACAUUGCGUAUAUUAGUAUUAAAACCAAGCAUUCUUCGGGAUGUUUUGUGUUGAAACUGAAUAUAUCUGCUGAUCGUAUGGUCUUGUACCGACGACAUGUCAUUCAAGUGUCUGAUCUAUCAACUUUCUAUAUAAGUAUAUAGUACUUAUAUGGUUUUGACGGAUAACGGGGUAUUAGGGUACGACUCCGGAGAAAAUGCCUGAGAAACGGCGUUUACAUCCAAGGAAGGCAGCAGGCGCGAAAAUUACCCACUCUCAGUACGAGGAGGUAGUGACGAGAAAUGACAAGAUCUAUUCCUUCGGGGAUGGAUCAUUGGAAUGGUUUGAUUUUAAAAUCAUUAAAGAGUAUCAAUGAGAGGGCAAGUCUGGUGCCAG
rnacentral:rRNA from 1 species